GCCUUGGUAGCUUAGUGGUUAAGCAUUAAGGUGUAAAUUCUAAGUCCGCGGGUUUGAUUUCCACCCGAUGCA
rnacentral:tRNA from 1 species